rnacentral:rRNA from 1 species
UACGGAGGGGGCUAGCGUUGUUCGGAAUUACUGGGCGUAAAGCGCGCGUAGGCGGCUUUGUAAGUCAGAGGUGAAAGCCCGGGGCUCACCCCCGGAAGUGCAUUGGAAACUGCCAGGCUCGAGUCCCGGAGAGGAGGGUGGAAUUCCUGGUGUAGCGGUGAAAUGCGUAGAUAUCAGGAGGAACACCGGUGGCGAAGGCGGCCCUCUGGACGGUGACUGACGCUGGAGACGCGAAAGCGUGGGGAGCAAACAGG